UACAGAGGUGGCAAGCGUUGUUCGGAAUUACUGGGCGUAAAGGGCGCGUAGGCGGUCUUGUAAGUCCCGUGUGAAAUCCCUCGGCUACAACUGAGGAACUGCACGGGAAACUGCUUGGCUUGAGUUCGGGAGAGGGAAGCGGGAAUUCCGGGUGUAGCGGUGAAAGUGCGUAGAUAUCCGGAGGAACACCGGUGGCGAAGGCGGCUUCCUGGACCGACACUGGACGCUGAGGCGCGAAAGCUAGGGGAGCAAACGGGA
rnacentral:rRNA from 1 species